rnacentral:lncRNA from 1 species
CAAAAACAAGUACAAUAAAAAUAAAAAUAAUUCAUUUUGUUGUUGGCAUUUCUGUUAGAACAAAUACCGCAACGAAAAUUUGAUUGUGAUUAAUAUCUAACUAAUUUUGUAAUAAGAAUAAAAUCAAACUUACAGAUAAACGCAAAUAUCCAAAUAAUGAUUUGAUCUUAUCCGGAAGCGUGCGAGGCACUGCCCUAAGGCGUAUUUCCGUCCUUACGUGCGGGAUUAACCGGAAAUAACACCCCAAGGUACGACCGGAAUUCCUCCUCCUGCGAGCACGAUCGUGAAGGAGGUUGGCGGAGAUUCUUUCAACACCCAGGAAUAUUCAAAUAGUAAAAGAUAAAAGAUGAAUAGAUAAGAAUUAACAAAUUAUCUAAAUCUCAUUCUCUACUACUCUGUCUGAAACAGAGGAGAAGAAAGGAAGGGAAUUUAACGCUCUUUCUCGUUACGAGAAAAAGACGUAUUCCACGCAACGGAAGGGGAUUCCGUUUGGCGUAAGAAACGGAACGGAAAAAUAUUCCGUUAGUUUCUUACGCAUUAAGAAAGAGAAUAAAAAUAAAUAAAUAAAUAAAAUUAAAUAAGUAAAUAAUAAAAUAAUAAAUAAUGAUAAAUAAUAAAUAAAUAAUUUAAAAUUCAAAUAGAAUAAAAUUCAAAUUUUAAAAUUUUGAGGUUUUUUUAACUAACAAUUUCAACAGUGGAGAGGCCAAUUUGUGAUCCUCUUUUUUCUUUUUUUUUUUAAAAAAAAACUUGAAUAAGGAGGUUUUUAUUUGGUACUUUCCAUAUUUUUCAAACUCAAAACUAAUAAAUUUUUUAUAUAAAUUAGUCUUUUUAAAUUUGAUGUCAAAAUAAAGUCUCAAAAGUUUCGUUCUUAUGAAUUUAAAUACAUGGGAACCAGUAAUUUAAUAUUAUUAUUUUUAGUUGGAAUGUAAAGCAAAUUUUCUCCAUCUAGUGCCGUUCCUAAACAGACCAAUGUAGGCCGGCCGGUCUCCAUCAAAUUUUUUUCCUUGAUAAUUAUUGAUUGAAAAUGUAUUUGUCUUUUUUUUUUUUUUUUCUUUGAUAGAUAUACAAGAAGACCAUGUCAACUACUAUUUUGCAAGUAAGAUAUUUUGUGGGUUUUUUUUUUUCUUGAAAUUUUCAUUGAAUUCGAACUCAUUCGUUCGGCAUCUAACUUAUGAUAUCUCGAACCCAGAUACAAUUUUUGAUUGCAAUCACUACAUGGCUCUUAAUGGGUCUCAAAUUGAAAUGCCGCUCCAAACAAAACAUCAUCAUCUACAUUAAUAAGAGCCUAAACUUACACAAGAAGUAAACAAGUACGAUAAAAAUAAAAAUAAAUCAUUGUGAGGUUGGCAUUUCAACAGUGGAGAGGCCAAUUUGUGAUCCUCUUCUUUUGUUUUUUUUUUUUAUUUUUUAAAAAGAGCUUGAAUAAGGAGGUUUUUAUUGGUUCUUUCUUCUAUAAAUACCAAUCCCCCCUCCUCCCCAUUCGCCACAUCAGAAAAACAAAAUGAAGUUCUCUGUCUUCACUAUCUUACUUGUCUCAACUACCGCCUCGCUGCCUGGCGUCCUUGCUCAGCAGUGCGGCAGCCAGGCCGGAGGCGCCCUGUGCCCCGGCGGCCUUUGCUGCAGCCAGUGGGGCUACUGCGGAGACACUCUCCCUUACUGCGGCGACGGCUGUCAGAG